rnacentral:rRNA from 1 species
UGGGGAAUAUUGCACAAUGGGCGCAAGCCUGAUGCAGCCAUGCCGCGUGUAUGAAGAAGGCCUUCGGGUUGUAAAGUACUUUCAGCGGGGAGGAAGGGAGUAAAGUUAAUACCUUUGCUCAUUGACGUUACCCGCAGAAGAAGCACCGGCUAACUCCGUGCCAGCAGCCGCGGUAAUACGGAGGGUGCAAGCGUUAAUCGGAAUUACUGGGCGUAAAGCGCACGCAGGCGGUUUGUUAAGUCAGAUGUGAAAUCCUCGGGCUCAACCUGGGAACUGCAUCUGAUACUGGCAAGCUUGAGUCUCGUAGAGAGGGGUAGAAUUCCAGGUGUAGCGGUGAAAUGCGUAGAGAUCUGGAGGAAUACCGGUGGCGAAGGCGGCCCCCUGGACGAAGACUGACGCUCAGGUGCGAAAGCGUGGGGAGCAAACAGG